CCAGUUUUCAGUACCCAUCUGAUGCCUUCCAACUCUGCUAUGCGGAAAAUAUGAGGUGUGUUAAAAAUCUGAAGAAUGUGCUACCACCUUUAAAAGCUUGUCAUUCUCAUUAUUACUCCUCAUUCCUGUUGUGCGAUAGUCAGUUGCUGUGCUGUGCCUCUCCCUGUCAUGGAUUAUAGUCAGUACCUGGGACGCUGUCUGAUAUUUUUCUUCUUGGCCCUAUUAUUUGAUGUUGUUGGCCUAAUCCUCUUUUUUAUGGGGAUUUUUGCUCCCCUAUCUUUCUGGGAUUUCUUUGUCCUCUCUGGACCAUUGAUCAUGUUCCUCAGCCUGGUAUUCUGGAUAUUUUGGUACUUGGGGAACCUCACCGUCUCCCAUGAAGAGCUGCUUCUUCCAAACUGAAGUGCAUUUUGUUACUAAAAUGCCACUGGUUUCCACUGAAAGCAUUUGCAAGUACUCUGGACCUUUUGGAGCUGAUGGAUUUGCUUUGGUGUACAAUGAAAACAUUUCCAGUGCAAUCAAAAUAGAGGCCUCCCAUUUUCUCCAAUGGAAAGGCAAAUGUUGUUCUGUGAAACAGCAAAAAAACUGAGAUUUUCCAUCUUCUCCUCUGAACUUGAUUUUGGCUGGAUCUGAAAUGUCACUAUGUGUGAACUGUAUCUUAUGGACUCCUUGCCUUUGAGAGCUGACGUCAAAGAAGGCUUCAUGAAAGGCUACACUCACCAUACCAUCCUGAGUCCUACUGACAAUAUUCUCCAGUUUCAUAAUUUCUUCAGGUUUAAAUAUUUAUUUCAAAGUUUAAUACUGGACAUUAAAUUAUGACCAUAUCCAUGCUGAAGUGCAAUGUAUCAGUAUAGAUAGAUCACUUGGGGAAUACUGUGACCUUAUGAGAAGUGCAAUAGAUUAAUAGCCUACAUUGCUGAUAGUAGAUCUACAGAAAGGUGUCUUUUCAAAUUUUUUAAAAUGUCUUUUCAAAUGACAUUCUUCAAAUGUGUUUUGUGGGGCCAUGACAUAUAUAGAGAGUCUUGGAGUCUGGAAACUUCUGCUGUUGCUAGAUAUGCCAUCACAACAGAAACCAGCCUAACAGGAUUUGUAUUCUCUGUGACUGUGUGUUACCAUGUGAUGUCAGCCAACAAUAGAUUUAGAACAGGAAAAAGACUUAACCUUUCUCAAUAGCUCUGAAUGAGUCUGGAAUUUCUCUACAGUUGUAUGAUAAUUAAAGAGGAAUGCAUUACUUUGACUGCAGUUACACACGUAUGCCGAUCACAUAAAUCUGUGAUCUGGCGUAAGCCUAAAAACAGAAUGUAAUGUAAACCACGACCGGUUUUUCAACUCAGGGACACACCCUAUAACUUUCAUGCAAUGACAUUUAAGAUUCGCUGUGGUAAUCUGCUGUAUGUACCUGAAUCUAAAUGGGCAAUGAGUUAAACAACAAGCUAUUGAAACCAAGCUACUGAACCUCCAUAGCCAAAUCGCUAUUGAAAACAUGCGGAAUAGAUCAGAUAACAUUUUAUUUCUACAGUCCACGUGUUCUUCACAUGACAAGAUAUUAAACUCUCUCAUUUCAUUCAUAAUCUGAAAU